rnacentral:rRNA from 1 species
GAUGAACGCUGGCGGCGUGCCUAAUACAUGCAAGUCGAGCGAACAGACGAGGAGCUUGCUCCUCUGACGUUAGCGGCGGACGAGUGAGUAACACGUGGAUAACCUACCUAUAAGACUGGGAUAACUUCGGGAAACCGGAGCUAAUACCGGAUAAUAUAUUGAACCGCAUGGUUCAAUAGUGAAAGACGGUUUUGCUGUCACUUAUAGAUGGAUCCGCGCCGCAUUAGCUAGUUGGUAAGGUAACGGCUUACCAAGGCAACGAUGCGUAGCCGACCUGAGAGGGAGAUCGGCCACACUGGAACUGAGACACGGUCCAGACUCCUACGGGAGGCAGCAGUAGGGAAUCUUCCGCAAUGGGCGAAAGCCUGACGGAGCAACGCCGCGUGAGUGAUGAAGGUCUUCGGAUCGUAAAACUCUGUUAUUAGGGAAGAACAAAUGUGUAAGUAACUAUGCACGUCUUGACGGUACCUAAUCAGAAAGCCACGGCUAACUACGUG